UUGAUAAUAUAAUUAUUUGAUAAUUUUCCAGGUAAUUUGAAAAAUUCAUUCAACAGAUAAAAUUGUUUAUUGCUUGGUAAUCUUUAAAAAUAUUUAUAUAUUUACAUCACUGAUUAGACAGCUGAGCACGUACCAGACAGUGACUGGCCCGAUCACCUGGAGAAAGCAGACGACAAUAUCAGAUGUGCCCAGUACCUACUUGAGUGAGGAUGUCAAAGUUCUAUAUGCACGUAAAGAAACGUUUAUGGAAAGACAUCAUCAGUUAUCAAUGAAGAGCAGCGUCACUAUAUAUGGAUCGGUGAAUUUGGUAUGAGGUAUUUGGUAUUUAUAUUAUGUUUAGACAGGCUAGAACUUCUUAACACUUUCCCAUAACACAGAUAUUUAGGGAUGGGAUGUUUGUGGCGGUUAGUAUUAUAACAUGGUUUAUUCCAACCCUCUCGGCAGUGCCAAGUUCUAUCCGGUUGGUUCUGAGUCCAAUGGAUGCUUUCAAGUUAGAGUCAACUGACCUGCAGAUCGCAUUUCCGCGUGCCAACAACUGGACGAACAUGUGCUACUGUUUGAUUGUGGUUUGUGGAUGGCUGUGGUGUAAGACAAUCACUAUAAAUAGGGCUUGAGUGGUUAGGGUCCCCGUAGGAUAUUUGCAGUUGUCAGUCGAGUAUUUCAUUUCUGAUCAGUGCCCUUUGUGGCGGUCUCACAGCUUUUUCAUGAUGGUUGCGGGCUCAGUACAGCACUAAUUUGAUGGGCAGGUGGGGUACUGUUACACUGUGGCCUGGUCUGAUUUGUUCUAUGAGACUGGCGAUGUAAAUAUUAGAUUAAUGCUGGAUUAAGAUUAGAUUUAAGGCUGAAGUAAAAGUGAAGUAUAGCCUCUAGCCUUUGCUAGUUGGCGGGGGAUAGCCUCUAGCCUUUGCUAGUUGGCGGGGAGAAGAAAGUAUAGCCU